CAGUGGGGAAUAUUGGACAAUGGGCGCAAGCCUGAUCCAGCCAUACCGCGUGGGUGAAGAAGGCCUUCGGGUUGUAAAGCCCUUUUGUUGGGAAAGAAAUCCAGCUGGCUAAUACCCGGUUGGGAUGACGGUACCCAAAGAAUAAGCACCGGCUAACUUCGUGCCAGCAGCCGCGGUAAUACGAAGGGUGCAAGCGUUACUCGGAAUUACUGGGCGUAAAGCGUGCGUAGGUGGUCGUUUAAGUCCGUUGUGAAAGCCCUGGGCUCAACCUGGGAACUGCAGUGGAUACUGGACGACUAGAGUGUGGUAGAGGGUAGCGGAAUUCCUGGUGUAGCAGUGAAAUGCGUAGAGAUCAGGAGGAACAUCCAUGGCGAAGGCAGCUACCUGGACCAACACUGACACUGAGGCACGAAAGCGUGGGGAGCAAACAGGAUUAGAUACCUGGGUAGUCC
rnacentral:rRNA from 1 species